ACAAAUGACUCAUAUAAAUUAUUUAAAAAUGAAAUAAAUAAACAAUAGCAUUGUCACUUUGAAUAUAUGUACGCAGAGACGAUGUCGAAAUUGGCUGGAUUAUUACUGUGCAGAUUUUGUGUUGUAUUUUUCUUAUCUUCUGCUGUCAGUGGUGCAAUACCAAAGUGCAGAUUGGUGUGUCCAACCCUACCACCAGGUACAGUCGGUAUUUGUUUAAAUCGAUGUCCUCCAGCUGGCUGUGGUUAUGGAAAUCUAUGUUGUUCUAACGGUUGUGGAAACAUUUGUGCAAAAGGCAUUCGGAAAUGCCAUUAAACAUCACGCAAAGCUAUAUAAUCAUGAAUGAAAACAAAGGAAAGACAAAACUUUACAUGUUCUCGAUUAAAAAUAUUUGCUAAA